rnacentral:rRNA from 1 species
UCCCUAUGGGGUGCAGCAGUCGCGAAAACUUUGCAAUACACGAAAGUGUGACAAGGCUAUCCCGAGUGCCAUCCGCUGAGGAAGGCUUUUACCCAGUAUAAAUAGCUGGGAGAAUAAGGAGAGGGCAAGUCUGGUGUCAGCCGCCGCGGUAAUACCAGCUCUCCGAGUAGUGUGGACGUUUAUUGGGCCUAAAGCAUCCGUAGCUUGCUAGAUAAGUCCCCUGUUAAAUCCACCGAUUCAGUCGUUGGAUUGCGGGGGAUACUGUUUGGCUAGAGGACGGGAGAGGUCGACGGUAUUUCCGGGGUAGGGGUGAAAUCCUAUAAUCCCGGGAAGACCACCAGUGGCGAAGGCUGUCGACUAGAACGCGCCCGACGGUGAGGGAUGAAAGCUGGGGGAGCGAACCGGAUUAGAUACCCGGGUAGUCCCAGCUGUAAACGAUGCAGGCUAGGUGUUUGGGCGGCCACGAGCCGCCCUAGUGCCGCAGGGAAGCUGUUAAGCCUGCCGCCUGGGGAGUACGGCCGCAAGGCUGAAACUUAAAGGAAUUGGCGGGGGAGCACCACAAGGGGUGAAGCUUGCGGUUUAAUUGGAUUCAACGCCGGAA